GACGAACGCUGGCGGCGUGCCUAAUACAUGCAAGUCGAACGAACCGCGACUGAGUGCUUGCACUUGGUCAAGGUGAGUGGCGAACGGGUGAGUAACACGUGGGUAACCUACCUCAUAGUGGGGGAUAACAGUCGGAAACGACUGCUAAUACCGCAUAGGACAUAGGAUCACAUGAUCCAGUGAGGAAAGGUGGCGCAAGCUAUCGCUAAGAGAUGGACCCGCGGUGCAUUAGCUAGUUGGUAGGGUAAAGGCCUACCAAGGCGAUGAUGCAUAGCCGACCUGAGAGGGGGAUCGGCCACAUUGGGACUGAGACACGGCAAAAACUCCUACGGGAGGCAGCAGUAGGGAAUCUUCCGCAAUGGACGCAAGUCUGACGGAGCAACGCCGCGUGAGUGAAGAAGGUCUUCGGAUCGUAAAGCUCUGUUGUUAGAGAAGAACAGCGCAUAGAGUAACUGCUAUGCGUGUGACGGUAUCUAACCAGAAAGCCACGGCUAACUACGUG
rnacentral:rRNA from 1 species